CAGUAGCCGCGGGAAUACGAAGGGUGCAAGCGUUACUCGGAAUUACUGGGCGUAAAGCGUGCGUAGGUGGUGGUUUAAGUCCGUUGUGAAAGCCCUGGGCUCAACCUGGGAAUUGCAGUGGAUACUGGAUCACUAGAGUGUGGUAGAGGAUAGUGGAAUUUCCGGUGUAGCAGUGAAAUGCGUAGAGAUCGGAAGGAACAUCUGUGGCGAAGGCGACUAUCUGGGCCAACACUGACACUGAGGCACGAAAGCGUGGGGAGCAAACAGGAUUAGAUACCCCGGUAGUCCCUGUCUCUUAUAC
rnacentral:rRNA from 1 species